UGGCUUUCUCUGAUCCAAACAAAACCUUUGGGAGCAGUUAAAGUGAAAAACGUCGCCUGUCGGUGCUAUGCGUGGGUCGCUACGGAGAGAAACUUCAUCAUCUGUGCUGCCGUUGGACACGAGGCCAGUCAGCGAGGGUGCGAGCAACUUCGGUGCGGCUUCGGCCUGAAGAACUUCAGCCAAGGUGCAAGUCUACAUCCAUCUGCCUCCAUGUCUACAGUUCUGCAGCAGCUGGGUGUCCAAAUCAGCGGCCAAGGUUUUGAGAAAGGACUGCUACAGUAACAUUUCACCAUCAUGCAUAAUCAUGCAUAUCAGGUCAGACUGUGUCAUUAUAGUUCGUUAAGACAGAGGCAAGGAAAGUCAAAGAAGAGUUAUGUGUAAAAGGGUUUCUGAAAUGUUUACUCAGUCACACUAAUAUUAUUUGGUGUUUGAUAUAAGAGGGUUGCAAUUGUUAAGUCCCUGUCUUUGUUAACUACUUGAAAGAUACAGUCAAUAUUACCAAUAUUACUGUGAAAAUGGCAACUGAAUUAUGUGAUUUGGAGGUCAUUAUUGAAGCUUUAAAGUCUGAAAAGGCUCAGUUAGAAAACAAGUUAGAUAGUGACCCCGAGGAUUCAGAAAGGGUACAGGUUGAAGUACGUCUAGGGGAGAUUUGUGCAGAUCUUGAAAUACACAAAAUCGGAUUACCCCAACCAGGUCCUCCUGGUGAACCAGAAACUUUAGAUCCCUCA